UUGUCCCUCUAAAACUGGGCCAGCUGGUAACCCUACCAGGAGGGCUUCCUGACCUUGAAAGCAAAGAUAAACUUUGAGGCGAUCAGCAGACCAAGAGCCAUUUUAGCAGCCUUCACUUAAGGAGACAAACCCAGCGCUUUGAGCUCUGUGUUGGAUCCUGGCAGCCAGGAAGAACGACUGUGGAAGGACACAACUUGUCAUUAACACAGGCAACUCAAAGGAUUUGAGAAGGCAAGUAAUAAUUAUCUAGUGUAGCGGUGUGUGACUGAACCCAGCAAGAGAAGAUUUUACUUGGGAGCCUCACCAAACAGAAGCCAUGUCCACCUGGAGAGGAUUUGGUGAGUUCUAAACCCAGGAGUCGGUGUAGGCACAAGUGAGAGAGACCUGAGACUGAAUCACGGAAGUGCUCACCUGCGCAGGAUGUGAUGCUGUUAGUGCCCACAGCUACAGCCCAGAACACCUCUGCAGGGGCCCUACAGGUCACACAGGAAUUUUGAUUAUUGCUGUACCG